UACGGGGGGAGCAAGCGUUGUUCGGAUUUACUGGGCGUAAAGGGCGCGUAGGCGGUAGCACAAGUCAGUUGUGAAAUCUCCGGGCUUAACUCGGAAAGGUCAACUGAUACUGUGCGACUAGAGUGCAGAAGGGGCAACUGGAAUUCUCGGUGUAGCGGUGAAAUGCGUAGAUAUCGAGAGGAACACCUGCGGCGAAGGCGGGUUGCUGGGCUGACACUGACGCUGAGGCGCGAAAGCCAGGGGAUCAAACGGG
rnacentral:rRNA from 1 species